GGGUGAGAUCCUCGCGCAGUAGGCAUCGCUGUAGGAUAAGUGGGCGACCUCCCCCUCUUUCUCCUCUUCUCCUAAUUUCGCUAGUUAGCACCGCGCGGGGAACUGAGAGAAUCAGAGCGCUGGUGACGUCAUCGCUGUCGUGAUUGCGACCUCGUGCCCAGUCAACGGAGUUCGCUGCAGCGCGCAGAACAAGUUUUUAACGGUGUUGGGCGCGAAGUCGGGCACAUCGGGGGUCAAUUCCUCGCUGGCAUUGUAGCAAAGCUCCAUCCGCACGUGGUCGAGUUCGCCUCCACCCAGGGAUCCUCGGAGAAGAACAGGUGGUUCAAGAGGAGCCGCACAAUGAGGAGUUCUAUUUGAUCUAAGUGGCAUCUCCUAGUUGACUUUAUGGCGCCAAGGAUGGACCUUAGUUCGUUCUAUAUUUAUCUCUUACUUUGUAAGACUUACACUAUGUAAUAAGUAAUCUGAUGUUAUUGUGACAUUUAUCUCUAUAAACUCUAUUAUUAUAUAUGUUGUCUUCUUUGGCGCAUGUAUGAGAUGCACCCGGCUUUGUCCCUUAAAUCCGGGUGUGACACGAGAGGACUUCGUGGUCAACUUGUCUUCAGAAUUGGUGGAAAAAGGCCUGUAAGUGGAACAGCUGAGCCAGCGCAUCGCAACUCUAGAGUAGCAGGUGAAAAUCUGGGAUAACACCAUCGAUAUCCUGGAGAUCCAGCUCCAUGAUGUGCAGGAGGAGCUUGAGGAAGCCAACAACCACCUAGAGAUGCACCAACAGGACAUGGAGGCAAACGAGGCAGGAAGCGAGGAAGAGGAGGAUCUCGAGGAAUUAGAGCCAACUCCUGGUCCAAAGCGACUCCCUCCAGAGUGCCCCUUCACCUACUUCCAGCGUUGCCUCUACCACUCAGGGUUGACGGGUUAAUUUGACAUAUUAGGCUUAAGGAUGAACAUGAUUGAUAGGAACCCACGUGAGCUUAGUUUUGGUACCAAAUUCUGGACUAGGCUUAAGGGUGAAUCCCCUAAAUUGUUGUAACCCAGGAAAGACUUUUAUGAGCAAUGAAUGCAAUUAUAUUA